UACGUAGGGGGCAAGCGUUGUCCGGAUUUAUUGGGCGUAAAGGGCGCGUAGGCGGUCAGCACAAGUCAGUUGUGAAAUCUCCGGGCUUAACCUUCAGACGUCGAUGGAAACCGUGCGGCUAGAGUCCGGAAGAGGAGAAUGGAAUUCCUGGUGUAGCGGUGAAAUGCGCAGAUAUCAGGAAGAACACCCGUGGCUAAGGCGGUUCUCUAGUACGGUACUGACGCUGAGACGCGAAAGCGUGGGGAGCGAACAGG
rnacentral:rRNA from 1 species